UCUGAAUCUGCGUACGGCUCCGCACACCAGUUGUAAACCAAAGCAAGCAAGCCCGGUCUCGACGCCUUUCGGGGCUAGGGGCCGGGCUACAAGGAUAACCCUGGUAAUUCUGAGGCUAAUACUUGACACGAACCUGCUGACUGGGUCUCGGCUCGGGAGGUGGGGGAUGUGCGACUAUCGGGCCAACGAAACCGGAAAGAGCGCACGUUCAGACCACUUAAAAAGGCUUCGGGGUCCUUCGGGAUCCCGGGGCUGUGGCUCUUGCAGCGUGCUUCUGACCUAUCAACUAGACGGCAGCCUAAGGGACAUGCUUUGGU
rnacentral:rRNA from 2 species